UCCGAGUUGACCCCGGCAGUCUCCUGCGAGUCCCCGCCAUUACGCGCUGGCAACACAGGACAAGGGUUGCGCUCGUUGCGGGACUUAACCCAACAUCUCACGACACGAGCUGACGACAGCCAUGCACCACCUGUAUACCGACCACAAGGGGGGACUGCCGGAGAAACUCUGGAGGAAGGUGGGGAUGACGUGGAGGAACACCAAC
rnacentral:misc_RNA from 1 species